rnacentral:tRNA from 1 species
GCCUUGCUAGCUCAAUCGGUAGAGCGUGUGACUCUUAAUCACAAGGUYGCGGGUUCAAGCCCCGCGUAGGGCU